rnacentral:rRNA from 1 species
UACGUAGGUGGCAAGCGUUGUUCGGAAUUAUUGGGCGUAAAGGGCGCGUAGGCGGCCACCGCAAGUCGACUGUGAAAUCUCCGGGCUUAACCCGGAAAGGUCAGCCGAUACUGCGGGGCUAGAGUGCAGAAGGGGCAACUGGAAUUCUCGGUGUAGCGGUGAAAUGCGUAGAUAUCGAGAGGAACACCUGCGGCGAAGGCGGGUUGCUGGGCUGACACUGACGCUGACAGCGCGAAAGCUAGGGGAGCGAACGGG